rnacentral:rRNA from 1 species
AUUGAACGCUGGCGGCAUGCCUUACACAUGCAAGUCGAACGGUAACAGGUCUUCGGAUGCUGACGAGUGGCGAACGGGUGAGUAAUGCAUCGGAACGUGCCUAGUAGUGGGGGAUAACUACUCGAAAGAGUGGCUAAUACCGCAUGAGAUCUACGGAUGAAAGCAGGGGAUCGCAAGACCUUGUGCUACUAGAGCGGCCGAUGGCAGAUUAGGUAGUUGGUGGGAUAAAAGCUUACCAAGCCGACGAUCUGUAGCUGGUCUGAGAGGACGAUCAGCCACACUGGGACUGAGAAACGGCCCAGGCUCCUACGGGAGGCAGCAGUGGGGAAUUUUGGACAAUGGGCGCAAGCCUGAUCCAGCAAUGCCGCGUGCAGGAUGAAGGCCUUCGGGUUGUAAACUGCUUUUGUACGGAACGAAAAGCCCCGGGUUAAUACCCUGGGGUCAUGACGGUACCGUAAGAAUAAGCACCGGCUAACUACGUGCCAGCAGCCGCAGUAA